GGAUGGAUCAUUACUGUAGCAGACUCGCGAGACCUUUUCUUCGGAAUUGGCGCUCAACAGUCCAGCUUACGCUGACACUUUGUGCACCGUUUGAUGUCUCUGGCGGGAUGCUCUCCCCUUGAUGCUGGCGGCAAUUUUGCCACUGGUGUUGAGAGGGCAGCGCUCCGCCGAUGGGCUUCGGCCUGUCACCCUUUGUUAACUCAUUGUUUAACCUAAACGUCUGAAAACAUUUCAUAUUAACCUAAUGUGAAAACAACUUUUGACAACGGAUCUCUUGGCUCUCGCAACGAUGAAGAACGCAGCGAAAUGCGAUACGUAAUGUGAAUUGCAGAAUUCCGUGAAUCAUCGAAUCUUUGAACGCAUAUUGCGACCUUCUGGUAUUCCAGGAGGUAUGCCUGUUUGAGAAUCGUGACCCCCCUCACUCCUUCAUUGGAGUGGAUAUGAGUCUUCCCUCAGAAAUUCAAAACUCUCUGGGUGACUUGAAAUAGAGGUAGGCCUUGGAGGUAACACCCUAUGGUGAAAAGGCGCUGAUAAAACGUUUCCGCAAGGAGGCAAGUAUAUCUCAUCGCUUCACGUAACCGUGGGAAAAGUGUGCUUCUGAUGUGCCCGCAACGCAGGAAAUGAAGGUCGCAAGACCUUUGUGUACUGAAUCUCAAAUCAGGCAAGACUACCCGCUGAACUUAAGCAUAUCAAUAAGCGGAGGAAAAGAAACUAACAAGGAUUCCCCUAGUAACUGCGAGUGAAGCGGGAACAGCUCAAAUUUGAAAUCUCUGCGGUCCCCGCAGCGAAUUGUAGUUUCGAGAAGUGUUUUCGGCGGCGGCCUUGGCUCAAGUCCCUUGGAACAGGGUGUCAUAGAGGGUGAGAACCCCGUGAAGCCUUGGCUUGCUGCUAUGUGAUACACUUUCUAAGAGUCGGGUUGUUUGGGAUUGCAGCCCAAAAUGGGAGGUAAAUUUCUUCUAAAGCUAAAUACUGGCGAGAGACCGAUAGCGAACAAGUACCGUGAGGGAAAGAUGAAAAGAACUUUGAAAAGAGAGUUAAACAGUACGUGAAAUUGUCAAAAGGGAAAGGCUUGAAACCAGUCAUGCUGUCUGGCAUUCAGCGGGCCACGCCGGCCCGUUCAUUUGCCAGAUGGCAGGUCAACGUCAGUUUCCUUCGCGGUGAAAAGCUCUUGGAAGGUGACUCGCCUCCGGGUGGGUGUUAUAGCCAAGGGUCAUGCCGUGUGGGGAGACUGAGGACUGCAGGGCGCACUGGACUAGUUGGGUAGGCGGGGGCUUUUCAGCAGACUGCAUGCAGGCUGUUGGAAAGAUUCCCUUCCUUUCCUGGCGACGUCUCUCCGACCCUUAGGACGUUGACGAAAUGGUUUUAAACCACCCGUCUUGAAACACGGACCAAGGAGUCUAACAUAUACGCGAGUGUUUGGGUGGCAAACCCAUGCGCGAAAUGAAAGUGAUUCAGGUGGGACCCUUUGGUGCACCAUCGACCGGUCUGGAUAUUUUAAUUGAUAGAUCUGAGUAAGAGCGUACAUGUUGGGACCCGAAAGAUGGUGAACUAUGCCUGAAUAGGGCGAAGCCAGAGGAAACUCUGGUGGAGGCUCGUAGCGGUUCUGACGUGCAAAUCGAUCGUCAAAUUUGGGUAUAGGGGCGAAAGACUAAUCGAACUAUCUAGUAGCUGGUUCCCUC
rnacentral:misc_RNA from 1 species